rnacentral:rRNA from 1 species
CAAGAGUACGUGAAACCGUUCAGGGGUAAACCUGAGAAACCCAAAAGAUCGAAUGGGGAGAUUCAUCGUCAGCUCAUUUUGUAUAUAUAUAAGUUGUGAUACGGGUUACUACUUGUAGUAUUGCCUGUACACUCUUGUAUAUUUAGUUGCAAGAUGUUGUCGGCGUGCACUUCUCCCCUAGUAGGACAUCGCGACCCGUUAAGUUUUCGUCAGCCUACGGCCCGAGUGGUAGACUUUGAUUUUUUUAUUAAAUCAGAGACCCUUGGUGUUUUCUGGCUGGCACUUGACGGUAUUCGUACGGUAUUAAGCCGCAUAAUUAUAUGCGUCCAUAUCCGUCGCAAGCAAGGUCAAUUUUAUUAGUAGUACGGACCUAGUGCCGUCGCUAUAAUUGAUCAGCUGUUGGUUGUACGGUAUUCUAGGACUGGCUUUAAAAUAAAAUACCGGUCAGCGAUGCUACUGCUUUGGGUACUUUCAGGACCCGUCUUGAAACACGGACCAAGUUUUAUUA